rnacentral:rRNA from 1 species
UGCAGUCGUACGAGAGUUUUUACUCAAGUGGCGGACGGGUGAGUAACACGUAAGAAUUUGCCUUUAGGAGGGGGACAACAACUGGAAACGGUUGCUAAUACCCCAUAUGCUUUCGAGUGAAAUGGAUUUUUCCGCCUAGAGAGAAGCUUGCGGCUGAUUAGCUUGUUGGUGAGGUAAGGGCUCACCAAGGCGACGAUCAGUAUCUGGUUUGAGAGGACGAUCAGACACACUGGAACUGAGACACGGUCCAGACUCCUACGGGAGGCAGCAGUGGGGAAUAUUGCACAAUGGGCGCAAGCCUGAUGCAGCAAUGCCGCGUGUGUGAAGAAGGCCUGCGGGUUGUAAAGCACUUUUAUUAGGAAAGAAAAACCCGGAAUUAAUACUUCCGGCAUUGACGGUACCUAAAGAAUAAGCACCGGCUAACUCAGUGCCAGCAGCCGCGGUAAUACG